UUUGGCUUUGGUUUUUGUUUCUUCAGCACUGAAUUUGUCUUGAAUUAUUGAUCAAUCUUUUUCAUGGUUUUGGAUUAUUAACAUUUGAUGAGACAUAUUGAUAUAUAUUCACUUGUUUUUCCUCUUCAUGAUCAGUUGAUGUUAAGCAUAAAUAUAAAUGAUCGAUCAGUCAGUGUGGUUGGAUGAGUUGGAAUCACAUGUUGGCCACUGUAGUUGUCUCUCUUCUGUCAUCAUCGACAAAACUUUUAGCUCCGCAGCUCAGUUGUACUGAUCGAAGCUGUAUUUUGUUUUUUUUUUAUCUAAAAAAGCUGUGAAGUCGUUAAACAUUAAUCAAUAAUAAUGGAACGUAGCUACUAGCUUAGCCAUGCUAUAGCUAG
rnacentral:lncRNA from 1 species